CAAUAGCGUAUAUUUAAGUUGUUGCAGUUAAAAAGCUCGUAGUCGGAUUUUGGCUGAGAACGAUCGGUCCGCCGUUAGGUGUGCACUGAUUGGUCUCAGCUUCCUGGUGAGGAGAUGUGCUUCACGGCCACUUAGUCACCGUGGUUACUUUGAAAAAAUUAGAGUGUUCAAAGCGGGCUUACGCUUGAAUAUAUUAGCAUGGAAUAACACCAUAGGACUCCUGUCCUAUUUCGUUGGUCACGGGACGGGAGUAAUGAUUAAGAGGAACAGUUGGGGGCAUUCGUAUUUCAUUGUCAGAGGUGAAAUUCUUGGAUUUAUGAAAGACGAACUUCUGCGAAAGCAUUUGCCAAGGAUGUUUUCAUUGA
rnacentral:rRNA from 1 species